ACUCGGCAUCACAGGGGAACAAAACUAGUAAUAUAUAAUAGCGAAUCUUACUUAAAUGUUAUUAAAGGGAUGCUAGUAUAAUUGUUUUGUUUUUCUUUGCUUUUUCUUUUUAUUUUUGCUUAUUUUCCUUGUUUAUGUUGGAAGUUAUUCCUCAUUUGAAUAAAAAAAAGGCUUUAAAAAAUAAAAUAAAACCACCUAAGAAUCUGUCUCUACAGACUCUACCCACGCAAAGUCACAAACCCUUACCCUUCCCUCUUCUAUGUAAAAAAAAGUACUCAAAGAGACACUCAUAGUCUCAUACCCAAACUUCUUGAACCCAAAAACCUCUAAAUUUCAGUGGCAAUUUGCAAUUCCCCGGUUAGCAGACAAAUCUUGUUGGUUGUCGCUGUCGUAUUUAAUUUCGUGGUGGAAAUACUUCAUUAUUCUUCAAUUCUAAGGUUUUGAUUCCUAUUAUGAAACCAAUUGAAUACACCAUUGCAAAUCAUAAUAAAAUGGGGAGUGCCCAGUUGAUCUUCUUGAUUGACAAACUAUGUCAAUCUUUGACGCCACAUCAGCAGUUUGAGUUACUAGAAGAUGAGUCAACCGAAUGAAGCUACACGUAGGCAAGCCUUAUUUUAACAAUGGUUGUUUACUUCUGUCAAUUCAUUAGUUAGCUGGUGAGUUAGUGAGUUACACUAGGGUGAAGGCUGAUAUUAGUUAAAGCUUUUAUUGUAGGCAGUUGGUAGAUAGAGACCAGUCAAAUCAACAAUACUACUGACUAUUUCUACAACUUAAAUGCAACAACUGUGAAAUAAAAUAUGAAAUAAAAUUAGAUAUUUACCUUCACAUUGUAUAAAAAAUAAUUUUUAAAAUAAAUUUUAUUUUAUUGCCUCUAACUAAAUGCUAUUAAGGAACUGAUUAACAUGACUACCCCUAAAUUAUGGUUUUACAAAGUUUUUGUAGUAGUAAUCAUCAAACUUCACCGUCUAUAAGUCUAUUGUGUUAGAAAAGUAAUGAUAAAAUAAAGGCCGUACGAACAUAUAUAUUUUUCAGAGUUGACUUUUUUGUCUAUUAUUUUGUAUGGGAUUAUGAGUUAGUAAAUAUAUAAAUAGAUAAAGUUAUUCAUUUGAGACUUGGCUAAAGAAACGUGUCUUAAAUAUAUCUAAAUCAUUUUGUUCGUACUUACCCCGUUUCAAAAUAAUCACCGGAACAUGAGUAUGUUUACUCUUUGUAAGUAUUAUUUGAUUCAUGAUUAGUAAACUUAUGUACAAUUGACAAUAGUGCCACGCAAAGGGACGGAUGCACUAAUGGACAAGGUAAAUUUUUUACUUCAAAUGUGUCAAUUUAAGUUAAUGAAACUUCAAUGUAUUAAAGGAUUGCAACUAAAAUGAUUAGGUUAAUUGUUAUAUGUAAUGAUGUAAUUGUGUAAUUCUUACCAAUGAAAAUUAAUAUAUACUUAUUACCUCUAUUUUUUUUUUUAAGUUGAUAAGUAUUCCUAUUUAGAAAUUUUAUUUUUAUUUCACCACAUUUUCAUUUUGGGUAAGUUUUUUCAGUAACCUUUUCAUGCAGCAGACAACACCGUGUGGCAGGAGCUACCUAGUUAUUUUGUUAAGGUUUACCUUAGUUAUUCAGUCAGGGGUUACUCGGUCAGGAUUAUCUUUUAUUAUCUUACUUAAAUAUUUUUACAAGGUUUGUACUAGACUACUCCUUUAUUUACAACAAUUGUAACUAAUUUAAUCUAUAUUUGUAUUUUAUCACAUAAUUUUUUAUUAUAAAACCUCAUUUGUUAUAUACAUAUAACUAGUUUUGUAACCGGGCGGGCGAUGCCCGGAUUGUUGAUAAAAAAUUUAGGAUAAAAUAUAAUUGUUUACUUUUUGUAGUUUGUAAUUUGUAAAUAGAUAUAUAUAUUAUUAUUAACUUGAUUUUUUUUUAAUGGUUUAGUUGAUUUUUUUUUAUUGAACUUAAAUUAUUUUUAUUGAAUUGAAAGUAUUUUUACUAAACUAAAAUUAUUAUUUUUUGUUUAAAAUUUAUUUUAUUUCAGGUUUUCUAUUAUUUUUUGAAAAAUUAAAUAUAUUAUAAAUGGAUCUUAUUUUAAAGAACUUUUUAAAACGAAUUUUAUAAUGGAAAUAAAACCGAGUCAUAGGAUAUUUAUUAAAAGUUAUGAUUAAUUAUAUAUAUAUGAAAUAUUAGAAGUAUAUUCAUUUUUAUCUUAAAAAAUCUAUCCAAAAUUAGCUUACUUAGCAUCAUAUGUGUCACACAGUCACAGUAAUAUCUAUUUGUCGGUUACAUGACACGACAUUUGGUGAAAACCUAGAAUGCUUAGUGUUGCUGUUACGUGGCCUCGCUGCAAGACCGAUUUUAUAUAUUAGUGAUAUGAUACGAUUUGAUGACCCGGGGCAUUUCCUAGGCCAAAAACUAGUUUUAUUUCCUAAAAUGAAUAUGGUGCAAUAGUUGUGAAACCUCCAUUACUACAAAAAGAGUACUUUCUCGACACUGGGCCUUCGACGCUAGACUGGUAGUGUCAGCUCUGAAAUACUAUGCGUGUUUUACCGACGCUUUUUAGCGUCGAGAAACUCUAGCACGUGACUAACACGUGAAUUCAACACCCACAAUUUCAAAAUUUAGGAAAAAAAAAAAAAACAAACCAACCAACCCCUUACCACUCAGUGACUCAGUUAUCAACCCUAACUAUUCUUCUCAUCUUCAUACGUAAUUCUACAAAGAGGCUCAUGGAACCAUGAAUUUCAAACUCAAAUCUUCGCUCCUCUGUGAAUCAAAUUCAAAUUCAGAUCUUCGCCCUUCUUGAAUCAAUUUCAAAGCGUGCUACAUCAGUUUCAAAGUUACAUUUUCGUCCGUCGUCCCUCUCUAUUCUAUUUCGAAAUGAGGUAAAUCAAUAUAAGUUUAGAUCUUUGUCUCUCUAAAUCAAUUCAUAUUAAGGUACAUCAAUUAUAUAUUCAGAUCUGUCUAAUGUUAAUCAAUUUGUUCCUCAUCUCUGUGCCGACAACAUUAAGGCGUAUAUUUUGUUUUGUUUUUUUUUCUUUUUUAUUCGAAAUUGGGUUUGUGGAUUGUUUUUAAAGCUUUUUUUCCCAAUAAUGUUACCGAAGUAUGGUCAGAUGAUGGGUUUAAUUGAUUGAACAGUAAAAAUUUCAAGGUUUCUUAAGUCUGGUGGGUUGUGGUAAUCGGCUCAGGUGGGUAGGAUGUCGGAUCUGAGUAUGGAGUUGCAGGAAUCUGGGUGGGAAGAGCUCCGAAAAGAAGCCCGAAAGAUUGAAGGUAAUCUUGAUGUUAAGCUUUCUUCUUAUGCUAAGCUUGGUGCUCGUUUUACCCAAGGUAACCUCAUUUUUUUUAUUCUAAUUUUUAUGGGUAUUUGUUGUUCUUAACAUUUUGAUUUGAUUAAUUUUGAAUAGGGUUUUAAUGGGUCUACAUUGUGUUGAAUUUAUGUAUCCUAAAUUUGAUUUCAGAUUUUGAUUAUUGCAUUAGUUUUUGCUUCAUGUUUUUCUGAGUAGUUAGUUUGUUUUUGUAUAAAUUGAUGUUGUUUGUUUAUAAUUAUGGCGAUUGGGUGUAGAUAGAGUUCAUUUAGUUACCAAUUUGGUUAAUUAGUUUUGUGGGCAGUGAAUUUUGAUCAGAAGAAUAGAACUCUGACUGUGUUAUAUUAGAUGGUGAUUUAAGGUGAAUGGGUUGGAAUUUCAGUUUUUGGUUGAGUCUGGUUUGUAUGAAAGCGAUGACGAGGCGGCAAAGAGGGAAGCGGUUUUGGCUCGCCUUAGAGAGGUAUAAGAACUAAAUUGGUGUGUGUUGAAGUUAUGUUCUUAUUUCUGACAUGAAUUUUAGUUGACUUUAUCGAAUUUGGGCAUUUUGUUUGGAUCCUUACCCGGGGUAUACUCCCAUAAGGCAUGAACAAAUUGAUGACAGUGUGUACGAGGAACUUCCUGGUGGAGAGCUAAUCUAACCGGAGAGGCAUGUUAACAUAUUCUUUAAUAUUUUAUUUUCGUGGAUGAAUCCCCUCAUGGAGCUUGGUUAUAAAAGACCAUUAACAGAGAAGGACGUAUGGAAGCUAGACACAUGGGAUCAAACUGAAACAUUGAUAAGCAAGUUCCAGAGUUGCUAGAUUGUGGAAUCUCGAAAACCAAAACCGUGGCUUUUAAGACCGUUAAAUCGUAGUCUUGGUGGAAGGUAUGUAGGUUUUGGUGGGGAGGAUUCUGGAAGGACGUUGACCACACUGUUGUCGACCUUGCUAUUGUUGCUAUGCAAUGUUGUUGCUGUUGUUUUUUAUUCUCGAUGAUGUUGUCAGUAUUCUAAUUUUGCUGCUAUCCCUAUCUCUGCUGGGAUUGCUAGUUCCUCUCAGUCUGUUGUCUCUGUCUUCCACCCUCCCUCGGGUGAGAAUGGAGCUACUACUAAUGCCGCAUUCUGUCCCUGAAGACCCUCUGCCCUGCUGUUCCUUUGCAGCAGCAGUGGAUUCCUCCUCCCCCUGGGUUCAAAAGAAUCCAUACAGAUGGCUCUUGGAGGAGGAUUAAUGUUGCUGCUGGUGGUGGAGUGAUUCGGAAUGAUGAUGGGACUUGUUUAUUGGGUUUCUCCAACAAAUACAACGCUGUCACGGCGCUAGCAGCUGAGCUUUAUGCUGUUAGAGAUGCUUUGGCUAUGGCCGAGGCUUUUGAUGUGAAGAAAGUGGAGCUUUUCACGGAUGCAAUUUCCAUUAAGGUGAUGUUUAAUUGACACCUUCGACCCCAUUAUCCACCAUCCCCUUGUUGCCAUAAUAAAUGACAUUGCUAAUAGCAUUAGGAAACUUGAAGAGGUGGAGAUUAAAGCAUGUUCGUAGGGAUAUCAAUGUCAUUGCCCAUAAUCUUGCUGAAGGUUGUAAUGAUAUGGCUAUUGGCCAUAGGACUUAUUAUUCUAUCCCAGAUUGCGUGAAGAACCCUUAUGAAAGGGAGUUAUGUAUUCCUACUGUCGAAGUUUGAUGCCACCUAUUUCCUCUAGCUUAGAUGUCUUAUUAGUGAUGCCUAUGAUUGGCUUUGUUCUGUGCUUAUGUAUAAUUACCUCUUGUUUGUACUUUUGAACUAUUGGCUCCUUGGUAUAAGAUAGAAUUAUACCUUUUGUAAUAGAAAACUCAUUGCUAUUAGAUAUUGUACAUAAACUAUAAAUAUAUUUAUAUGCAAUAAAAAAAUUUGGCCUAAUUUUGCUGUGUA